rnacentral:lncRNA from 1 species
AUUUUAAAAAGUCCAAGGAAACAAUUAUUUUAAUUUCAUUUGAAAAGGAUAACUUCAGUUAUUACACUCUACUACACAUAAAUUGUUCAAGCAAAGUCAUCAUAAGUGAGAUCACUAUUUCAAAGUUAUAUAAGUUUACAUUUUUGUAAACAAAGUUAAAUAAGUUGCAUGACCAGUUUACAAGAACAUGAUUUCAAUUAUUUACACUAUUUUUUCUCCAAAAAAAUAAAAUUAUUUACACUCUGUUUGCUAAAUGAAUGAAAAACUAAACUACUU